AACGUACGCUGGCGGCACGCCUAACACAUGCAAGUCGAGCGGGGUAGCAAUACCUAGCGGCAGACGGGUGCGUAACAUGUGGGAAUCUGCCUUUUGGUUCGGAACAACAUGGGGAAACCUGUGCUAAUACCGGAUAAGUCCUAACGGAGAAAGUUUUAAUGCCAAAAGAUGAGCCCGCAUUUGAUUAGCUUGUUGGUGAGGUAAAAGCUCACCAAGGCUAUAAUCAAUAGCUGAUUUGAGAGGAUGAUCAGCCACACUGGGACUGAGAUACGGCCCAGACUCCUACGGGAGGCAGCAGUGGGGAAUCUUGCACAAUGGGCGAAAGCCUGAUGCAGCGAUGCCGCGUGAGUGAAGAAGGCCUUUGGGUUGUAAAGCUCUUUUGUCGGGAAAGAUAAUGACUGUACCCGAAGAAUAAGGUCCGGCUAACUUCGUGCCAGCAGCCGCGGUAAUACGAAGGGACCUAGCGUAGUUCGGAAUUACUGGGCGUAAAGAGUAUGUAGGCGGCUAGAUAAGUUAAUUGUGAAAGCCCAAAGCUUAACUUUGGAACUGCAAUUAAAACUAUUUAGCUGGAGUAUGAUAGAGGAAAGCGGAAUACAUAGUGUAGAGGUGAAAUUCGUAGAUAUUAUGUAGAACACCAGUUGCGAAGGCGGCUUUCUGGAUCAUUACU
rnacentral:rRNA from 1 species